rnacentral:rRNA from 1 species
CCUACGGGAGGCAGCAGUGAGGAAUAUUGGUCAAUGGGCGCGAGCCUGAACCAGCCAAGUAGCGUGAAGGAUGACUGCCCUACGGGUUGUAAACUGCGUUUAUAAAGGAAUAAAGUGAGGCACGUGUGCCUGUGUGUAUGUACUUUACGAAUAAGGAUCGGCUAAGUCCGUGACAGGAGCGGCGGCAAGACGGAGGAUCCGAGCGGUGUCCGGAUUUAUUGGGUUGAAAGGGAGCGGAGAGGGGUUGUUAAGUCAGUUGUGAAAGUAUACGGCUCAACCGUAAAAGUGCAAUGGAUACUGGCAGUCUUGAGUGCAGUUGAGGUAGGCGGAAUUCAUGGUGUAGCGGUGAAAUGCUUAGAUAUCACGAAGAACUCCGAUUGCGAAGGCAGCUUACUAGACUGCCACUGACAUUGAUGCUCGAAAGUGUGGGUAUCAAACAGGAUUAGAUACCCUGGUAGUC